rfam:Salmo salar isolate Sally breed double haploid chromosome ssa21, whole genome shotgun sequence.
UGCAUUCACUACUGUAAGUCGCUCUGGAUAAGAGCGUCUGCUAAAUGGCCUGUC